rnacentral:rRNA from 1 species
GAGUUUGAUCAUGGCUCAGAACGAACGCUGGCGGCAUGCCUAACACAUGCAAGUCGAACGAGACCUUCGGGUCUAGUGGCGCACGGGUGCGUAACGCGUGGGAACCUGCCUUGAGGUUCGGAAUAACUCUCCGAAAGGGGUGCUAAUACCGAAUAAUGUCUUCGGACCAAAGAUUUAUCGCCUUUAGAUGGGCCCGCGUUGGAUUAGCUAGUUGGUGGGGUAAAGGCCUACCAAGGCGACGAUCCAUAGCUGGUCUUAGAGGAUGAUCAGCCACACUGGGACUGAGACACGGCCCAGACUCCUACGGGAGGCAGCAGUGGGGAAUAUUGGACAAUGGGCGAAAGCCUGAUCCAGCAAUGCCGCGUGAGUGAUGAAGGCCCUAGGGUUGUAAAGCUCUUUUACCCGGGAUGAUAAUGACAGUACCGGGAGAAUAAGCUCCGGCUAACUCCGUGCCAGCAGCCGCGG